UCCCUGGUGGCUCAGAUGGUAAAAGUGUCUGCCUACAAUGUGGGAGACCUGGGUUUGAUCCCUAGUUUGGGAA
rnacentral:tRNA from 1 species